CCUACGGGAGGCAGCAGUGAGGAAUAUUGGACAAUGAGCGCGAGCCUGAACCAGCCAAGUCGCGUGAGGGAGGACGGCCCUACGAGUUGUAAACCUCUUUUGACGGGGAGCAACGGGCGCCACGUGUGGCGUCACGGAGAGUACCCGGAGAGAAAGCAUCGGCUAACUCCGUGCCAGCAGCCGCUGUAAUAAGGAGGAGGCGAGCAGUAUCCGGAUUUAUUGGGUUUAAAGGGUGCGUAGGCGGAUCGUUAAGUCAGUGGUCAAAUUGAGGGGCUCAACCACGUCCCGCCAUUGAAACUGGCGAUCUUGAGUGGGAGAGAAGUAUGCGGAAUGCGUGGUGUAGCGGUGAAAUGCAUAGAGAUCAUGCAGAACACCGAUUGCGAAGGCAGCUUACCGGUGUUUAACUGACGUUGAGGCACGAAAGCGUGGGGAGCAAACAGGAUUAGAUACCCUAGUAGUC
rnacentral:rRNA from 1 species